AUUAUGAUGCCGCUGCCAUGUGAUUACUGGUUCGAGGGAUUGGAAAGAAACUGCCCCAAGUUUCAGGAAUGGAUUACCAGCAAACUGUAACUAUCACUGAUACGCUGACUGAUGGCAUUUGUUACAUGACACUGACGAUGAAAGCCGAGGACAGCUCAGCUCUUUUACAGUCGUCUGGAGGUACGCAGACAUGGAGCACAUGCUGGUUGAACAGGAACCCCGGUGGCUGUAGGAGCUGCAGCCUCGGCCGCCUCUUCAUCGUCCUGUUCCCUCCUCAUCCUCAUCAGCUGCAACUUCAGCUCCUGUAGCAAAAGAACAGAAUCCAAAUCCUCCACUGGUCGUCCCGACGUCUGGUCAUCCAUAACCUGCUGCCAUCUUCAGCUGUUGUCAUGGCCUCUGCUGCUCUGGAGCUGAUGGGCUUCUUCCUGGGCCUGCUGGGGAUGCUGGGUACUCUGGUGGCCACCGUGCUUCCGUACUGGCAGAUUUCAGCCCACAUCGGCUCCAACAUCGUGACGGCCGUGGCCAACAUGAGGGGCCUGUGGAUGGAGUGCGUGUACCAGAGCACCGGAGCCUUCCAGUGUGAGACCUACAACUCCAUGCUGGCCCUGCCCUCAGACCUGCAGGCCUCUAGAGCCCUCAUGGUCAUCUCUUUGGUGCUGUCUGUUUUUGCCAUCGCCAUGUCGUCCCUGGGGAUGCAGUGCACCUUGUGCCUGGAGGGCACCGGUGCCGUCAAGAGUCGCAUGGCGGGUGCUGGAGGCGGCCUGUUCCUCGCCGCCGGCUUCCUGGCGCUCAUACCCGUGGCGUGGACCACUCACGAAGUCGUCCAGACCUUCUAUCGACCCAACGUGCCCGCGAGCAUGAAGUUUGAGCUGGGAGAGUGCCUGUACGUGGGCCUGGCCUCCGCGCUCAUCUCCAUGUUGGGAGGGGGGAUGCUGAGCGUGUCGUGCUGCGAGGAUCAGGACGGAGCCCGCGGAAGACGGGCCGGAGGCGGGUAUCCAUAUCCGGUAGGUAAUGGUUUAGCGGGCGCAGGGCCGCGGACGACCUCACAAAUGUACCGCAACCCCACCCUGCAGGCAGGGGGCGUCAACACGGCCAGCAGAGGCCCCACCCUGGUCCGCAGUACCAGCAACAGCUCGCACUCCAGCGCACAUGCAGCCCAGGGAGCCAAAAAGCCCACAGCGGCAGGAUAUGACAUCACAGGGUACGUCUGACAAUGGCGACAGAUCACCGCAAUCAGCUGAUGAGUUCCUCACACAUCAUGUGACACGUCAGCCUGUUCGGACUGACUCUGAAACAUUUCAUUUCAUAUGUUAGAGGAGGGUCUUUUUCUAAAGCUUUUUGAACUCUUCUCAAAUAUAAAGGACCAUUUAGAGCACAGGUGUCAAACAUGCGGCCUGGGGGCCAAAUCUGGCCCACCAAAGGGUCCAGUCCGGCCCACGGGAUGAAUCUGUGAAAUGCAAAAAU